rnacentral:rRNA from 1 species
UACGUAGGUGGCAAGCGUUGUCCGGAAUUAUUGGGCGUAAAGCGCGCGCAGGCGGUCUUUUAAGUCUGAUGUGAAAGCCCACGGCUCAACCGUGGAGGGUCAUUGGAAACUGGGAGACUUGAGUGCAGAAGAGAAGAGUGGAAUUCCACGUGUAGCGGUGAAAUGCGUAGAGAUGUGGAGGAACACCAGUGGCGAAGGCGACUCUUUGGUCUGUAACUGACGCUGAGGCGCGAAAGCGUGGGGGAGCAAACAGG